ACAUUCUUGUGGGGGGAAGUGCAUAACAAACAGGCUUUAAAAAAAGACAUGUGCGUGCCCCUUAAAAAAAUAUUGACUAAAACAUUACUGUAUCUAAAAAAAUAUAGUGCAUAAAAAUUGUUACACAACGUUGGAGAUCUAGGCUAUGGUACGCAUAUAUAUUUGAUGACAUUCUUGUGGGGGUGAAAAGUGCAUAGCAAUCAGGCUUUAAAAAAAGACAUGUGCCUGCCCCCUUAAAAAAAGUGACUAAAACAUUUUUUGGAAAAAGUCUACUUACCCCCUGAAGUAUUAAGCUGUGUCUAACCUAGGCCCCAAACUAUAAAACCGGGUUUCCUACAACCUAAAAUAUGCAAAAUUAGGCAUCUAACCCC
rnacentral:lncRNA from 1 species